rnacentral:rRNA from 1 species
GGCAAGACAAGCGGCGACGCCUCGGUAAUCAAGAGGUGGCACGGGGUGUGCUGACUGAGUGGGCGUAAAGGGCGGGUAGUCUGCUUUGCAAGGCGGGUGUGAAAGCCCUCAGCUAAACUGAGGAAGUGCGCCCGAAACUGCAGAGCUUGAAUACCGGAGAGGAUGGCGGAAUGCCCGAAGUAGAGGUGAAAUUCGUAGAUAGGGGGAGGAACACCGGUGGCGAAGGCGGCCAUCUGGACGGCUAUUGACGCUGAGACGCGAAAGCGUGGGGAGCAAACAGGAUUAGAUACCCCAGUAGUC